rnacentral:ribozyme from 1 species
AAUCUUCUUCUUUUUCCUUUCUUUUUCCUUUCUUUUUCCCUCCUUUUUCUUUUAUAAAAUCCGUGCAAA